GACGAACGCUGGCGGCGUGCUUAACACAUGCAAGUCGAACGGAAAGGCCCUGCUUUUGUGGGGUGCUCGAGUGGCGAACGGGUGAGUAACACGUGAGUAACCUGCCCUUGACUUUGGGAUAACUUCAGGAAACUGGGGCUAAUACCGGAUAGGAGCUUCUGCUGCAUGGUGGGGGUUGGAAAGUUUCGGCGGUUGGGGAUGGACUCGCGGCUUAUCAGCUUGUUGGUGGGGUAGUGGCUUACCAGGGCUUUGACGGGUAGCCGACCUGAGAGAGUGACCGGCCGCACUGGAGGUGAGACACCGUCCUGAGGCCUACGGGAGGCAGCAGUCGCGAACGGGCGGCAGUGGGGGAAAGUCUGACGGAGCGGCGCCGCGUGUGUGAUGGCGGGCCCCGGUGCGGAAAACUCUCUUAUGGGUGAAAAACAUCUGUGUAAGGAACUGUGCAGAGCUUGACGGUACCGAAUAAGAAAGCCCCGGCUAACUACGUG
rnacentral:rRNA from 1 species